CACGGCUGCUGCAACUCGGCGCGCGUCGCCAUGGCGACCGGGCGCCUUGCGCGGCGGGGCCGGCGCGGCCUGCCUGCCUGCCUGCCUGACGGAGGGGCUGCCUGAGUGGCCCGCAGCGCGCGCGCCGCCCCACGGCCCUCAUUGGCCCGCGCCGCCCUUGCGCGGCCUCGCCAUGGCCGACGACGACGCCCGCGCGGUCCUAGAGGCCGCCGCCACCGCCUCCUGUGGUGGCGGUGGCGGUGCGGGGCACGGCGCUGCGCGCUUCGCCCCGCCGCCUCGACCUCCUCCUCCUCCUCGCCUUCACCUGGGGAGCUCCCCCCCCCCCCCGUCACGGAGGGGGUUGAGGGGGUGAAAGAGGGGAGAAGUGGAAUAAAAAUGAAGUGGGGCGAUGUUAGGAGGGGGAUCAACCCCGAGGGCAGGCGCCGCCCCGCUCCCUGACCGGGGCAGGGCGAGGCCGGGGCCGCUCACGGCUCCGCCGCACCUGCGCGGGGUUUGCGCGGAGGGUCCGCGCCCGGCAGGGCUCUACCGGGUUCCACCGGGCCGGGCAGGGCGCUGGGAGCCCCCCGUGCCCCCUCAGCGGGGUCCCGGCCCCGGCCCGGAGCCGUCCCGCUUCUCCCUCGCCCCCCGCCACGCAGCGCCGCGGGGAGCCUGGGCUCGUCCGGCCGCCUUCAACUUUGUUUCUCUGCGCUUUUUUUUGUCUCUUCUUAACGUGAAUUUUCUGUCACCCGCCCUGCAGGCGCGGCGGGAGCAGCAACCGAGGGUAGACCCCCUAAGGACGCGGGGAGAGCCUCCCGUCUCCGCAUACACCGCGACCGGCCGGAGAGAGAAGGGGAAAAAAAGAGAGAAAAAUAAAGCAAAGAAAAAAAAAAAAAAGCAAAACCUGAAAAAAAAAACACAUCCCAAAACCUCCACAAAGAGAGGGAGAAGCACCAGCUCCCAGCCACGCAUCCGUGCCCGCUUGCCCCCGGCCCCGCAAAAGGGCUCAGCGCCCCGCACCUCUCCCCGCUCUGUGCCACACAAAUAUCGGGGUCCCCCUCGCCGCAGGUGCCGGGGAAUGGGGAAGGUGCCCAAAGCCCCCCAAAGUGCCUUUCCCCCCCUGCUCAGCCCCCACGGACGGGGAUGCUCGGAGGCUCGGUCUGAAAAGACGAGGCUGCGGCAUCCCCGUCGAGGCUGCCGGGGCAAAAUUCGCUCUCCUCGAAGCGGGGACCAGUUGGGGCCGGGGAAGGCUUUGAGGAUGGGGAAAGGAAACCUUCCCCGGUAAAAGGAGAGCAAGAGCCUUCUGGUUCCCAAAUAACCCGGCCACCCGGCCCCGAGGAGGUCACCUUUCGGGGACAGAGAGGGAGAAGGUGGGGGUGCAAAAUGCAGGAUAGUCACAGAUUGUUGCUGAUGUUGAAUUUCCUGAGGAAAAAAAAAAAAAAAAAAGGCUUUCCUGUCUCGAAUCUGACAAAGUAAACAGGAUUAAUUCACCAUAUGCAAAAAAAUGCAUCAAUACCGUCCUGACAAACGCAGAAAUCAGAAGAGAAAGCGGUUUUAGCAGGACCUACGAUAGGAACAGUUUGAACGUAUGAUCGUAAAAAUGAAAAGCCAUUGAUACACAUUUAGAAGCUGCCGUAUACGCUGAUUGCUCAAGCAUUAAUGAAGAAUGCCCCAGAUUAACUAUUUGCUCUUGCAGGGAUGUAGCCAUAUAACUAUCUAUUAGCACCAUUAGAUGCCUUGCUAUUUAUUUGAAAACACCCCUGCGAGGGGGUAGAGGCAGAAGAGGCGAAGGUAGAAAUGGUCUGCAGCUAAUUCUGCUAAAUAUCUGCAAGCCGAGCGCCUCGCGAAGAAGGGGGUGAUUCCCAACUGUCCUUCUCCGAGCCCAGUCACAAUAGAACCGCUCUCUUUGAAAAGUCAGACUGUAUUGGUUUCCCCAAAUAAAUAAACGCAUCCCUCCUGCCAUUUUACUGCAGAUGUAAAUUUAUUUUAAUGAGAGGGAGUGGAAGGAUUUAUUUUGCUAAAAUAGAGUUGGGGAUAGAGCCGGUGUAAAUCUUUGGGUUUUAAAAAAGAGGAGGAAGGAGGGGGAAGCUGCUUUCCCGGCAGAAAGCUGCCUAACAGUUCUCUAAUUCUUUCUAGAUUAAAUCGCAAUAUGAAUACAGCAUCGAACAAAUACCGAGUUUCGCUCUGAACUCAGUGGAAAGCAGUUACGUCUAACAGAAUUCAAUGAAUUCCUCUUCUCCCUCAAUGUAGUAUGUGUGUGUUUUUCUCUUCCACCACACUGAAGUUCCAUGAAUAGGGAAAGUGGCUCCUAUUGUGUGCCUCUGAACUUCCAAGUCAAUGCAAUUUUUAACCACUGGCUUGUGGUACUUUGAAAAUCACCAGGGGCUGUCAGAGUUGGGUCCUCUGAAAAAUUUACAGUGCUAAAUCAGAGCAUAUGCUGUGAGAGAGGAAAAAAAAUUGCUUAAGAUUGGAGCAAGUACAGUAUCUGGCUGCCCCCUAGUGUAAGUCUCUUAUCUGCCUAAAAUUCAACUUUAAAAGAAAAGGAUCUCUUAAAGGGAAACGACUUUUGGCUCACGUAUGCAUACGAGAAUGAAACUUCUGUACAUUUUAAUCUGAUUAAUUCCUAAGGAUUUAAAAUUAAUUGGCUUGGGCACUCCUAGACCGGACUAUAAGAUUUCUGCAGCAGGGUUUCUGCGAGCCCUGGACCGAAUAGGAACCGUGCCUCGCACGCUGUUGUCAGAGCAAAACACUUUUGCUGCCUUAAGUCAGACCUGCGCCUUUUGCAAUAAUACAGGAUAAAUAAUUGCAUUAAAGCCUGAGCCGCGCUGCCAACCACACCUUCGGCGGUCAGAAGGCAGAAAUAUGUGAACUGCCGAGAGAGGUGGGUACUUUUUGUAAUAUCGCCCACAGGGUGAUUUAACAGAAGUCUGCUGAUUUUUACCAUGGUCCAGCACUUAGCUUUGGGCAGCGCCUCUGUGCCAGGGCACUGUGCUGCCCCGUGCUCUGGUUGCUUCCCCAGAGAGAGGGAAAGCAGCAAAGGAUGCGGGGCUUCCCCCAGGAUUUUGGAAGAUGCCUCAGACAAUGGUGAGGAGCGGGCCAAAACCCAGGUCCAACCUGGAUUCCUCCCUGUGGAUACUCCUCUCGCCAGCGAUGACUGCUGAUGGAUCACAGCAACACGGACGUUCCCCUCUCCUUGCUCCCCAGCAGCAGAUCACCAGGAGGCCCUGAGAUAAUCCUGUGGGGAUGAACCUAAAAGGCUGGAGAAGUGCUGCAUGGACCUUGGGCCGUGCCUGUCCUGGCUCCUCCUCACCAGUGCCUUGAGCUGUGUGAAGCCCUGAGAACCAAGCCACCACUGAGGGCAUGACCGGGUGUUUGCUCCUCUCACUGACCACACCUGAAGCACAGUGCCAAGGUUCUUCUAUAGCUUCUGCAGGUAGGAGCACUUCGUGUAGGCUCACAUCGGUGUGCAGCCCACACUUUGUGUAGGCUCACUCUAGUUUACAGGUUUAGUGUUGGUGAUGAGCGAGACAAUAAUGCAAAGAUAACCUGUGCAAACCCUUUCCUAGAACUGACAUUGUUUCAUCACUUUCUCCAUUUUCUGGAUGAAGCUGCCAGCACGAGGAGGGCAUGCUGGCACACAUCCCACUCAAUAGUUGAAAAGAACAAACUGGCAAAUGUUUCUAAUUUGCUGAAGUUUAUCAACAACCCAGUGAAUAACGGGUGAAUGAUAUUUUCCUUUGGCUAACCGUAGAUGUACGUGGAAAUGCUGAUAAACUGACACUUAGUCCAGGGACUGUACACAAAUAUAUCAGAUACAAUAUUCCUAGUGAAAACCUUUAUGGAGAGUGUUUCUGCCCCAAGCCCCUGCUGGGAGACACACAGUGAUGCUCCCCGAGACCUGGCAGCCCUUCGAAGUGAGCAUAUGGCCUGCCCAGCUCUUGCAGUACCAGUGCAUGAUUCAGUGUAACCUGCACAGUAACUGGAAUGGAGGAGGGACCUGAAGGUAAAACCCCCACUGUUGGUGCAGGCGGUGAAGGGCAGAACAGUGGCUGCAGGAGCAGCGUCUCUGAGGCAGCCGACAAAGCCAGGCCAGUCAGCGCUAGCAAACGGAUCUGGUCCUGCCCCUCCGCUUCUUGCACUGGCAGAACACGGCACUGAAAUCACUGGAGCAGGGAUCGGGCCAGGAAUGAGUGGCUGAGUUGCAAAGCAAAUUAAUUCCUGCCAAAAAAGUUCAGCUAUGCUCAGAAGUAUGUAAAGUGUCUGAUUUGAGAAGUGUCAAGUAGCAUUUGUGACCAAUUAUCCAAGAUGAAGGGGGCAGAGCUAUGUUUACAUGUACUAAUCUUCAGCCAAAGUUUGAAAACUCCAAUUCAUGGACACGCAUCAAAUUUCCUUUCCAGGCUUGGCAUUUGCCUGUACGCACGCACGCACAUUGCUCGGGGAUGACAGGAAAACAUGAUUACGACUUGCAAAUAAUACAAAUAAAAAAACAACAAAAAAAAAGUGAGGUGAGCUGCCAUGCAGCAGAAGCAUGGUAAUUAAGCCUAUACUAUGAUAAGUGGGGGAAAAAAAAUCACAGACUGCUGUAUGAGUAAAAGAGUAAAAUAGCUUUAUCAGCUGAGCUGAAAUAUUAUGGGUGAUGUCUCUGCAUUGUUAUUUUUCCACAACCUGUGAAGCCCUGGGAAACAAUCUACACAAAAGAAUAAGAAAUGAAAGCUGCCUCUGCCAUCUUCUGUUUAAUUAACACAGGUAUACCAAUUUAAUGCAAUUAAUCAAGAUAGUAGGGAUUAAACAGUAACUCACAGUUGACAAUGACAAUGUUAUCAAUGCUAUGGGCAUAGAAGGGCUAGAAAAUGAUUGUGGUGACUGGAAGCACUGUGGGCACGAACAAGCUGACUAGUUUUGGGUGGGUUUCAGGGGUUUGUGCACAUCUAUUGAAAUUUAGGAGCAGCUGAUUUUUCAUGUGGCCGAGUGUUUUUCUGCCCUGCCCUUCCCUUUCCCCUCUCGGACCUUGCAGGGUAACCCCCAGAGCAGCAACAACUUUUAAAGUGAUUCCUCUUUCUUCUAACAGGUUCCUGACGCUAAAGGUCUGACCUUAAAAUGAGCAGCACACAGGGCAAGAACGGGCACUGCAGCGAGCUCCUGGCCUUCAACCCUUCCACACACGGCUAUUUUGGUAACCAGAACGCUGUAGUCAUGUUGGGUAAAGGAAUAGAGAAGGAUUUCUCAACAUAUUAACUCUACCAGUGCUGGAUGCUGUGUCCCCACAGAGCUUGCCUGCCUCUAUAGAAGACCUGAAAUGCAGAUUUUCAGAAAUCUUUGGAUUUCUUGCAUGCCGGAGAGGCACAGCCCCGUUUACUACAACGCCACUGUCCUCAUUAAUGUUCAUCAGGGCUUGAAGUACUGGGACCACUGCUGCUGGGUAAGAAGAUGGCUAAAUUUUCUAGGCUCAUUCUCGUGGCUUAAGAAGGUUAAAUUGGGUGAUAACGAGUAGUAACCGUGCCCCCUUUUACGGUGAGGUUGACGCUUGCCUUCUAGUAAACAGACAGGGAGAUGAGCCUCCUCAUCUCGCACAGCUCACCAGACAGCCCCGGGAUGGUAAGGGUUAUUGGUCAUUUACCAAACUGUUUGACUUGGUUCAUGGGUGAGAGAUGAAAGGUGCGCUACCGGUCCCUGGGGCCAGCCGGUCCCCCUAAAGCGGCAUUUUAUUUAACAAGGCAACUGCUGGCCCACGGGAACCAGGGAGUUAAGGAAGAGAGGACACAGUCACAACUGCAAAUGCUUCCUUGCAGAUGUCUUAAAGCUGCCCUGAGCCUCACUGCUUCAGUGCUGCAAUAGCUGCUCCAGAACACCCAAUGGCCAGAGUGCUUUUCCCGUAAGUUAUUCCCCCUCUUCCCACCAAAACUUCCACUAGGUUAACGUGGUGUUUCUCUCUACCCUGGUCUGUUUUGCUCCAUGUUGCUGGGAGAUGUCCCUUGCUGUUGCAGUGUGAACCACAAGACGUUCAGAAGUUGCAUUUGUUGUUUGCUAGCGUUACUUCAUUGUGGGAAUAAUGCAUCUGCUGAGUCAACUUUAUUAUUAUUAUUAUUAUUUUUAACCUAAUAGCCGAUUUCCAACAAGUUUUUGUUGCCCAGUUCCUGCCAUUAACAAGGGAACAAGCACAAGUCAACACAGAAAAUGAACGACUAGGAGGUAAGUGAACAGACGAGUAAAUGCAGGCCAUUCAUGUGACAGGAUCCGAUUCAUUUUUGUGCCAGGGAGAUUUUUUAAAUGGGACUUCUCCCAGCGGAGAGCUCACACUGCUCAAGGCCUGCUUCACUAUAAAGACAACACGAUUAUUCAGGGCUUAUUAUUACUUUUUAUCACUAGUUUUCCAGCCACAGGGAGUGAGGGCAGAGGUGAGAUCAGGACCUGGUUUACUGCCACGCACCCUACACGCUGUACAGUACGCUCUGCCCUAAGAGCCCUAUAAAAGGUGCUAUCUGCUUCAUGGGGCUGACAAACAUGCCCAGGGUGAGGACCAGGUGGGUCUGAGUACAGAACCCAUCAGCAGCAAAACUGGGGACCCAGCCCGAGCUUCUGUCCUGGGAUCCUGAUGCCUGUUGGUUCCUUUAAAAAGUAAACCUUUAUGUUUUACUUUUUUUUUUUUUUUUUCUGAAUCAUUGAAAUGAUCAGUUGAAUAAAUGCCACAUCCUUUGAAACACUAUUUAUUGUAUUUAUAGGAAAUAUCUGUUUUCCCAGGCUAGUGGAGAUUAUUAAGAGUGAUAAACUCAUCAGGAAAAAAUGUAGGCUGGGUGUGACUGAGGAACUUGUGUUUUAUCCUGCAGUGCCACUGCAAUCCCUGGCUGUGCAGACUUGGGAUCCUCUGCUAUCUUACUCUCUGCUUUCAGCUGUGCUUGGAAGCAGCAGCUUUCACGGAGAAAUGUGAAUACUAUUCUGUGGUGCACCUUACUCUGGCCUGAGAUCUCUCCAGUAGGCAACAAGGUGACGAACUGGUUUCUUGACUCACACUGAAGGUCACGUAGCAGCCCCGGGCCCACCUCAGUGUGCUCGCCCACAUCCCCUGCCUUUUCAGGGAGGGACGUGCCGGCGCGGCCGUUCCUCUUCCCAGCCGGCCCUAUCACCCCAGGCAGGCAGGAAUAGCUGCCGUCACUGCCACCGCCUGAUCGCUGUAUGCUUGGCAGGAGGAGACAAAGAUGCUCAUUUCCAUCUGUGACACUUCUCAGCCAGGAAGAAAGCCGCCGGGCAUCAGCCCAUAGGCUGGGAGGCAUCAGAGCAGCCACCUGUUAGAUGCUGACAAAGAAACCUCCCAAACCCAUUAGGCAGUGAUGAAUUCCCAGGACCAAAGGAAUCUGAUACAAAGGGUGGCGAUGCCUUUCUACCCACCCAACACAAUUCAUUCCUCCUAGAUGAGGCGGCAGACAAACACAUCCAGCCCCAUAUGCUCCGCAGUUGUUAGAUCUGCUUUGGUGAGGAGAGCCCCGAUUAGUAGGAUAGGAUAAUACGUGCUGCAGUGCUAGUAGAAGUCCAAAUGGCCCAAGGAGCAGUGCAGAGCAUCUGCUACCACCAAGGAAGCAGCAGGUGUAAAGCUGUUGGUUUGUCUGGAGGCACAGACUUCCCAGCACCGAGGUGGGUGGGAGAGCUCUGGAUGUGCACCAAGAUCUCCUCUCCCCAUAGAUUUACCAGCUCGGCUCAGCCCAGGCCAAAGGAGCAGGGAUGAGGUCCUGGGUCCUGCUCUGAGUUCAUUGCUCUAUUGAUUAUGAAGCGGUAUUUACAGCAGAUCAGGAUCCUGAACCGAGCCUGGCCUGCCAGCUGAAGCUGUACAAACUAAGUCAUAUAUUCCCCAACUAUAGAUAAAAGCAAUGGCCAAUUUUAGCCUAACGAUCACUUCUGCCAAAGGAAAGAAACUCUUUGAGGUAAGUUCCCUUGGAUAUAAUUCUUUCUUUACAGGUUAAAGCAGGGCUGUAGCUAAUACAUAUCUGAGUCGUAAUGUGGAUUUGCACCUUUCCCAUUAAAUACAACUGGUUCGUGUCCAAAGGCUCACUUCUAUUCCUAAUGCUCACUUAUAUCUUUACAACUUCUGCAUUAGCUGCAGGUGUGAAAUGCCAACUGAUCCAGACUUCUCUUGCUGUCAGCAGGAGUAAUGCAUGUAAAAGGCCUGAUUUUCAGAAGUGAGGUCACCAGCAUCCCCACUUGCACAUCUGCUUCAAUAAAUAAAUCUGUGGAGAUUUGCAAGGCUCAAAUAUGCACAAAAUGGGAUGAGUUCACUGGGGUCCACACGUAAAAAACUGUUCGCACUCCUCAUUUAGUAAGCAGGUCACCAUUUGCUCUCUAUACAAGAUAUUUGCUCUUUUACAAGAGUAAUCAUCAAUAUAUUUGGUUAAAUAGAAUGUAGACCUCCAAUUCCAAUAGCAACAAAUUUGAAUUAAAAACAAGUGAUUUCAAAGAUCCGUAUCAUAUUGUGAAAAGACAUGAGCAGAACACAAAGGUCAGAGCACAUUUGAUGAACAUCUAAGAUCCCAGACCUGAGAUGAUGUUGCUCAAAACAUACACCUCCUUAAAGACGCUGUUAAAAAACAUUGACAUAAUAAUCAGAAGAGAUGCGCUUUUCAUACUGGGGAAAGGAAGCACUUGGUUUGCAAUAACAAGUUUGAUUUUGGAAAAGAUUGUUAGGUUAAAGGAACCGUGCUGUCACACACAGCAUGGCUUAUAUGGAUCUUCAUGGAAGUGGCUAUCGCAUCAAGGUGUCUUUUUCCCCUGAAACUUACUCCAGAAAUUCAGUGCAAAGACUUUUCGUUUCAUUAAGCUGACUUCAUUACCUUCCUGAGUAAUAGAAAUUCCACUUGUUUCCCUGAGUGGUGGAAUACAUACACAUAAGUCCAUAAAAAGAAAAGGGGAAAAAAUAAGAGAUGUGGAUUUUCUUUGGGUGAAGUAAUACAAGAGAAAAUAGGGCUUGACAAAUGUUUGAGUAUAAUAUGCCUUGGGUUUUUAACAAAAGUCCAAAGAAACAUGCUUGAAGAAACAUUUUAUAAUGCACGCCUGUUAGUUUAUCUUCAUUUUUGUUGCCAUGUAUAAUUGAAAAUCUUACAGACAACUCAUAAGACUUUUAGUUUUUGUUGAGAAGUGCCUUUUCCAAGAUAAUUCUGUAGGCUAUUACUUUAGCCCACUGGGUAUCAUGUAGGCAAGGUGUAAGAUUAUGCACAUGAAUAUUUCUGUCUACCACUUCUGUGUGCUGAGACAAUAUCAAUUUAUACUUUCUUCUGUCAUUGGUCCUUAUUCCACAGAGGAUAUUCUUAAUUACCAGCAAGACAAUUUGGUAAUAUCAUCUAAAGUGUUACAGCAUCAUUCCUGCGAUGAUUUACACCUACUUAGAGUCUGAUCAUUGAAUUUUAAACCAUAUAUUAAGCUCAGAAGGUGGAGGAUAUUUUUUUUUUUCUACAGGACACCAUUUAUAUUUUUAAUAGAAUUACUCUCCUUUAACUUAUUGGCAGGGUUCUUCUGAAAGAUAGAGUUUUUGAACACAAAGACAGCAUUUCUGAACAUUUGAGCUGCCCUGAAAAAUUCAGAGCAUGCUUCCUAUUGCAGUUCAAAUCCACUCAGGUCUAAACUCCUAAAUGCUAAUUUCGACGACCGUGCAUGAGGGACAUGCCUUUAUGGGGAUUCUAAAGAACACAAAACCAAAAAUACCUCAGCUGCAGAACAAGUUCACUGUAUUCCUUCCUCCACUUUCUGAUUAUGGUUUUAAAUAUAUUCAACCCUGCAGGUUUACUCCAAAGUCCUUGGGAAUGAUGGGAAUUAUUCUAUUGAUGCCAAACUCUGCUUUCUACUGGAUUAUGGAAGAUGUUUGGGCAUCAGGUUUGCUGGUGAUGGCACGUGAAUGAAAUGGGGAAUUUUAUAAACAAAUCAGGGAGGGUAAGUGCCCAAUAGAAAAGAUGUCACAUAGGGAUCCAGAAAUUAGUCUGCUUGUAACAAAUAAACCAAGGAAUGCUUACUAA